GAGUUUGAUCGUGGCUCAGAUUGAACGCUGGCGGCAGGCCUAACACAUGCAAGUCGAGCGGAUGACGGGAGCUUGCUCCUUGAUUCAGCGGCGGACGGGUGAGUAAUGCCUAGGAAUCUGCCUGGUAGUGGGGGACAACGUUUCGAAAGGAACGCUAAUACCGCAUACGUCCUACGGGAGAAAGCAGGGGACCUUCGGGCCUUGCGCUAUCAGAUGAGCCUAGGUCGGAUUAGCUAGUUGGUGGGGUAAUGGCUCACCAAGGCGACGAUCCGUAACUGGUCUGAGAGGAUGAUCAGUCACACUGGAACUGAGACACGGUCCAGACUCCUACGGGAGGCAGCAGUGGGGAAUAUUGGACAAUGGGCGAAAGCCUGAUCCAGCCAUGCCGCGUGUGUGAAGAAGGUCUUCGGAUUGUAAAGCACUUUAAGUUGGGAGGAAGGGCAGUAAGUUAAUACCUUGCUGUUUUGACGUUACGACAGAAUAAGCACGGCUAACUCUGUGACAGCAGCCG
rnacentral:rRNA from 1 species